rnacentral:rRNA from 1 species
UACGUAGGGGGCAAGCGUUGUCCGGAAUCAUUGGCGUAAAGCGCGUGUAGGCGGCUCGGCAAGUCUGGUGUGAAAACUGGAGGCUCAACCUCCAGCUGUCGCUGGAUACUGCCGGGCUUGAGUCCGGAAGAGGAGAGUGGAAUUCCUGGUGUAGCGGUGGAAUGCGCAGAUAUCAGGAGGAACACCAAUGGCGAAGGCAGCUCUCUGGUACGUGACUGACGCUGAGACGCGAAAGCGUGGGGAGCGAACAGG